rnacentral:rRNA from 1 species
GACGAACGCUGGCGGCGUGCCUAACACAUGCAAGUCGAGCGAUGAAAUUCCUUCGGGGAUGGAUUAGCGGCGGACGGGUGAGUAACACGUGGGUAACCUGCCUCAAAGAGGGGGAUAGCCUCCCGAAAGGGAGAUUAAUACCGCAUAACAUUAGUUUUUCGCAUGAGGAACUAAUUAAAGGAGUAAUCCGCUUUGAGAUGGAUCCGCGGCGCAUUAGCUAGUUGGUGAGGUAACGGCUCACCAAGGCGACGAUGCGUAGCCGACCUGAGAGGGUGAUCGGCCACAUUGGAACUGAGACACGGUCCAGACUCCUACGGGAGGCAGCAGUGGGGAAUAUUGCACAAUGGGCGAAAGCCUGAUGCAGCAACGCCGCGUGAGUGAUGAAGGCCUUCGGGUUGUAAAGCUCUGUCUUUUGGGACGAUAAUGACGGUACCUGAGGAGGAAGCCACGGCUAACUACGUGCCAGCCGCCGCCGUAA